CAGCAGCCGCGGUAAAACGAAGGGGGCUAGCGUUGCUCGGAAUGACUGGGCGUAAAGGGCGCGUAGGCGGUUUGUACAGUUGGAUGUGAAAUUCCUGGGCUUAACCUGGGGGCUGCAUUCAAUACGUGCAGGCUUGAGUGUGGAAGAGGGUCGUGGAAUUCCCAGUGUAGAGGUGAAAUUCGUAGAUAUUGGGAAGAACACCGGUGGCGAAGGCGGCGACCUGGUCCAUUACUGACGCUGAGGCGCGAAAGCGUGGGGAGCAAACAGGAUUAGAUACCCGCGUAGUCCCUGUCUCUUAUAC
rnacentral:rRNA from 1 species